rnacentral:lncRNA from 1 species
AGAAAACAAAAUGAAAUGAUGUCCGUGGUCCAAAAUAUCUGAAGGACCACUAUAUAUACAUGUAUCAUUGGGUCGGGUCAGAUGACCCAAUGGCUGAAAUGAAAAUGGGGCUCCGACAUAUAUUGGGCUCGGUACACAUUUGGCCCAACAACAAAUAAUCAUCAUAGGCCGUACAAUGUAUACCAGAGGAUACAAUAAAUAUACAGUGUAUAUACAGUGUGUACAAUCAUGUAAUUUCCUUCAUCUCAACACCCCCCCUCAAGUUGGAGGGGGAAACCACCUGCAACUUGGUGAGCAGCGGAAGAAGCAAA